rnacentral:rRNA from 1 species
CGAAGCGAUUUAGCGGAAGUUUUCGGAUGGAAGCCAAAUUGACUGAGUGGCGGACGGGUGAGUAACGCGUGGGUAACCUGCCUCAUACAGGGGGAUAACAGUUAGAAAUGACUGCUAAUACCGCAUAAGCGCACGAGGAUGCAUGUUCUUGUGUGAAAAACUCCGGUGGUAUGAGAUGGACCCGCGUCUGAUUAGCUAGUUGGAGGGGUAACGGCCCACCAAGGCGACGAUCAGUAGCCGACCUGAGAGGGUGACCGGCCACAUUGGGACUGAGACACGGCCCAAACUCCUACGGGAGGCAGCAGUGGGGAAUAUUGCACAAUGGGGGAAACCCUGAUGCAGCAACGCCGCGUGAGUGAAGAAGUAUUUCGGUAUGUAAAGCUCUAUCAGCAGGGAAGAAGAUGACGGUACCUGAGUAAGAAGCCCCGGCUAACUACGUGCCAGCAGCCGCGGUAAUACGUAGGGGGCAAGCGUUAUCCGGAUUUACUGGGUGUAAAGGGAGCGUAGACGGCUGCGCAAGUCUGAAGUGAAAGCCCGGGGCUCAACCCCGGGACUGCUUUGGAAACUGUGUAGCUAGAGUGCUGGAGAGGCAAGCGGAAUUCCUAGUGUAGCGGUGAAAUGCGUAGAUAUUAGGAAGAACACCAGUGGCGAAGGCGGCUUGCUGGACAGUAACUGACGUUGAGGCUCGAAAGCGUGGGGAGCAAACAGGAUUAGAUACCCUGGUAGUC